UUCCACCAGAAGCCUUCCCUCACGCUUCUCUCUCUCGACUUUCUCUCUUCUCCUACAGUAGUGAGGCUCGGCGGCGAUUCCGAUGCAUCGAAGGCAGUAGACGAGAGCUCCUCCCCUGUUCCGGUCUCUCUCCUCUCGUUGGCGGUGGUUCGGUUCAACAGCGGUGAGCAGACCGGCGACCAUGGCCCCUGUUUUUUCGGUGGGAGUAGAGUCAAGGAAUUGCGUGAAUGGUUACCAUUAAAGGAAAGAAGUAUUUCUAUGGAAAAUAUUAAACUUUGAAAAUUGGUGGUGUCAAAUAUAUGUACGCUACUUUAAACAAUUGAUGAUUAUGAAGAAGAUGGAUUACAGUGGCAAUUAGCAGAUUAAGGAUUGAUUAAUAAUGGAUUAGGAGGUUUUCCCCGUUGUAGUGGCUAACUUAAAGGUUGAGCCUUAGAUUCGAUGAUUUCUUUUGGAGCUUAGCUUGAGGUAAGUUUCUAUGUCCGUCAAAAUUACUUUGUCCUAUCAAAUGUGCUAUUUAUCUCUUUGAGUCCUUAAAUUGUUUUGAAAUUGUGUUUGGGUUUAAAAGUGUGAUAAAUAGCAAAUGUGUAUAUUUUGAUGUUACCCUUGUGAUUUACAAGUAUGAAUAUGUGUAUGGUUAUAUGGUGAGGAUAUUAUGGUAACUACAUAAGUAUGAAACUAUACUAUUUUUAGAAAGCAUAAACUAUAUUUACUUCUGAGAGGUAUAACUAUAUUUGUUGAGGAGGAUAAAUACUAUUUUGACAUAGAUAACUAUAUUUCGAUGUUACCCUUAGGAUUUACAAGUAUGAAUAUGUGUAUGGUUAUAUGGUGAGGAUAUUAUGGUAACUACAUAAGUAUGAAACUAUACUAUUUUUGGAAAGCAUAAACUAUAUUUACUUCUAAGAGGUAUAACUAUAUUUAUUGAGGAGGAUAAAUACUAUUUUGACAUAGAACCUAUUUGUAAAUAUAUUAUAUACACCCUAUACUAUUUUGGAAGCUAUGAUUUGAAUAGCCUACGGGUAAAUGAGAAGGUUUAUGAAAAUCUAUUUUGAAUGACUAUUAUUAUUUUUAGAGGAAUUAUGUAGAAAUGUAUCAUUUUGGAGGUUUAUCCCUUUCUAUGUGGAUUGUGUUGGAGGAUGAGCUUCAACUCCAUUUGAUUGCUGAUAUGAGCUCUGGUUCCAUUAUGAUUAUUAUUUGGCGGGUAACCUGGUAGAAAAAUCCUGGGUUGCUAGGACUAGUAACUACCCGUUGGGCUUGUAAUUCCAAUUAGGGGGUGUGCACACUUAAGGUUAUAGUUCUAUUUCCAUUGGUAUUAAUAUGGUGAGAAGUGAGGUUCCGUUGGUAGGAGAUGGUGGCGGUUGUGUUGGAAGCACUGUUCACUAGGGCUUCGCUGCAGUGGAGUUCCUGCCUUGCUAGGCCCAUUGUUAUCUCCACACUUGUGAUAUAUGACUCUUCGUUUAUGAUUUGGGAUGCUUGGGAUACCUCCACUUAUGUAUUGUUUUGCUAUAUCGAUAUUUGAGAAUGACAUGAGAAAACCUAUAUCUUGAAAUGAUUAUUGGAUGAAUAAACUAUAUGUGGUGAUGAAUUCCUCCAUAUACUUGUAUAUACUAUGUUUUUACUAUGCUUUGCAAAUGUUUAUAAGAAGUGAUGAGUUAUAUAUUUCUCCGUACUUGUCUUAUAUAUGCCCAUCUAUGUUUUGGGAAUAAAUAAUGGGAAACGAUUAUGUUUUUGAAAUGAUAUUUAUAUUGAGAA